rnacentral:rRNA from 1 species
CGGACGGGUGAGUAAUGUCUGGGAAACUGCCUGAUGAGGGGGAUAACUACUGGAAACGGUAGCUAAUACCGCAUAACGUCGCAAGACCAAAGAGGGGGACCUUAGGGCCUCUUGCCAUCGGAUGUGCCCAGAUGGGAUUAGCUAGUAGGUGGGUAACGGCUCACCUAGGCGACGAUCCCUAGCUGGUCUGAGAGGAUGACCAGCCACACUGGAACUGAGACACGGUCCAG